AGGAGGCAGCAGUGAGGAAUCUUGGACAAUGGGCGCAAGCCUGAUCCAGCAAUGCCGCGUGGGUGAAGACGGCCUGCGGGUUGUAAAGCCCUUUUGGCGGGGAAGACGGCCCUGGGUUGAACAGGCUCAGGGGGUGACGGUACCCGUCGAAGAAGCACCGGCCAACUCCGUGCCAGCAGCCGCGGUAAUACGGAGGGUGCAAGCGUUAAUCGGAAUGACUGGGCGUAAAGCGCACGUAGGCGGUGGUUUUGGUCCGUUGUGAAAGCCCUGGGCUCAACCUGGGAACGGCAAGGGAGACGGAACCACUGGAGUGUCGACGAGGACCGUGGAAUUCCCGGUGUAGCGGUGAAAUGCGUAGAGAUCGGGAAGAACACCGAUGGCGAAGGCAGCGGUCUGGGUGAACACUGACGCUGAGGUGCGACAGCGUGGGGAGCAAACAGGCUUAGAUACCCCGGUAGA
rnacentral:rRNA from 1 species